UUUUUUUUUUUUUUUUUUUUUUUCCCUUCUGGGUUGCUUUGGCACUUUUGAGUCUUUUACAGUUCCAUGUAAAUUUUAGGAUUAUUUUUGUUCUAGUUCUGUGAAAAAUAUGAUAGGUAAUUUAAUAGGAUCACAUUAAAUCUGUAGAUUGCUUUGGGCAGUUUGGCCAUUUUAGUAAUAUUAAUUCUCCCAAGCCAAGAGCAUUGAAUAUCUUUCCAUUUAUUUAAAUCAUUUCAAUUUCCUUUAUUAAUGUUUCAUAGUUCUCAGCAUAUAAGUCUUUCCCCUCCUUGGUCAGGUUUAUUCCAAAGUAUUUUAUUUAGAUUGUGAAAUUUUAACAGGCUUUUUUUUUUUUACCUUCACUUUCUGAUAUUUCAUUGUUAGUGCAUAGAAAUGCAACCAAUUUCACUAUGUUAAUGUUGUAUACUGCUACCUUGCUGAAUUCAUUUAUCAGUUCUUGUAAAUUUUGUGUGGAGUCUGUCUGCAUUUUUAAAAGCUAGAGCUGCUUUCUUUCUUACUGCAGAUGUUCACAAUUGCAAAUUGCUUUUAAACACAAAUCCAGUGUCUGAAUCUGAAUCACUCUGUUGGUAGUUUACUGUGAUAACAGCACAAGGUUGAUCUGAAAGUGCUGUGUUUCAUUGCCAAAAGCCACCUGUUUCUACUAUAUUUAGAUGAUGAUUUUGAUGUGAAAAAUCAUAGGUCAGAAAAAGUGCAUUUAAGUGAUGUCUGUCUAUACCUCACUUGGUCAAGCUCCUGCUUAUUGUCAAGAAUUGGAUGUGUUUAGCACUGAAUACAUUGGUCCUUUCCAUCUUUCAGUAUAAAUUUCUUCCACCAAGUCCAGGAAAAACAAUAUAAAUUUUCAUUAAAGAAAGCACUAUAUUAUGACAGCACUAAAUGAAUCACCUACAAUCACUUUUAAAAGGCUUGAUUUAUUUUCCACACUUGGGAGGCACUAUGUUGUAAAAAUAUUUUCACUAACAAGUAUGAAAUAUGGCAAUAUAUGUUUUUAUCCAUACUGCAUGUGGCUAUAUAACACAUUUCCUUUUUGUGUAUAUCUGCACACACAAUGCGUGUCUGUAGUGGGGCCUCCAGGUAAUUUCUUGGUCACAUUGACUUCUUUAAUAAAAAAAAGGAAAACAAAUUGGCCAGGCAGCUCAGACACACAUCAAAUUCAUCAUAGCUGGAGAUAAUAUUUUCCCAAAGUGAUUCAUACUCUCACCUUCCUGCCGGAGUUUUCUCCACCCAGUGACAUAGUGACAUAGUGAAAUGUCACUGAAGUGAAGGCUAUUUCGUUUAGCCUUGAGCAAACAUAGAAGCUGAACUGUGGAUACACAGAAUUCCUUUUCCUUUUCGAAGACGUGGGUUUUAUGCAUGUGUAACUGGAGCUCAGCUGAAUCCAGAGAGCUGCUGCGUGAUAAGAGCUGGGUUUGAAAACAAAGUGCAAUGGAAUGACUUGAAUAACAAAAUCCCAGGCAGAGUGUUUCUGAGCUCACUGCAUUUACACUCUGCAAGGAGAUCAAUGCUUCCCCUCAUUGAUUUUCCUCAGUUGCAGUGCCAGGAUUAUGCAUGUUGUGAAGCUGUGGUCCCGGAUUCAUCCAGUCUAAUUUCCUAGCCAGCACUAAAAAAGCAUAGUGUUCAACUGUAAACAGGAGGUUAUAAAAGUAUAACUGGAUCAAAUUUGUCCCUCCACUAAGCCUGCCUGUGAAACAGAAGCACACUAAUGUAUUCCUAGUGUGAUGCAAGAGCUGCCCAGGAAGGGACAUAUUCUGUUUGUGCUCAGCUUCUAAAUAAAUGGUAGAUAUGCUGAAGAUAAAUAUGAGAUGUGUUGCAUACUUUUGCUUAGCUCCUGAGAUAUUUUCAAAUGCACCAGAGCUUCCUUCCUGGAAGACUUGAAAUGCAAAAUAAGCCUAUGAAGAAAUUAUUCUCUUCUUAAACUCACAGACUGACUCUAAACCAUCUGAUUUUGAAAUUACCUUAACGUUUGUAAUUGGAGAAGGUGGUUGGUUAGAAGGCUGUAAAAAUCAAGGGUCUAUUAAAAAAUUGAGGGUCCUUUUCACUGUAAACAACUGGCAGCUGUAAUGGUUGGUGGGUUUAUUCUGCAGUUAACACAAUUCUUCCCUCCCUUAACUUUAUGGAACUUAUUGUAAUUCAGUUGAGCAUUGACAGCCAACCGGAAAAUGAAAAUACCCAAAAAAGGUGACUUCAGCUUUUUCCAAAUUUUAGCAUACUGUUAGUAGGAGUGGGAAUGGGAAAGCAGACGCCUAUAUUAAAUUUUCCUUUCCCCAUUCCACUUUGAGGAUGGGCAAGGUGUCCCAUUACCACUAGAACUUAGGAUUUGCUUUGAAAAAAUGAUGUAAAAUAAGCAUUUCCUACUAAGACUAGAUAAAUGAUUACACAGCUGCUUGCCUUUCAAACAGAAUUUGUUCAGAAUCUGGGCUUGCCUGGGUGCUUACUUCAUUUUUAAAGACUGCUGUCACAGCUCGCUGUCUGGGUGUGCUGGAAACCAGAGUGUUCUCUCAUGUACCCACCCCUAACCACCACUUCCCCUAAGAAAACCAUGUCUAGGGGCAAAGGAAGGAGGGCUGGACACCAAAGACCUUCUGGUUGACCCAUAUCCAGGACUAAUAGUUUCCACUUCCCAGACUUAACGUGUAAAUUGAGCUGGCAGAUGUACCUUCCUUGAUGGGAAAUAUAUAAGCAUGUUUACAAGUUACCUAAGCAGUGGACAUUUUCCUAGUAAAAGGUUAACCAAGCUGUUAAGUUUUUCAGCGACUGAAAAUGAAAAGUGAAUUCCCUGUUCCAAAUUACAAACCUAUCCCACAGAUUAUCCUUCCUCCUCUGAAUCACUCACAAAGACUUUUUAAAAAAAUUAAAUAAUAACUAUUGGUUCCCAGUAUAAACAGAAAAGAGACCAAUUCAGCCUUGUGCACUAAAAACUAACAAACACACCUUGGUUUCCUUAUGUAUUUCUAAACUGCCAUGUGCAAACUGUUGUGUUUUACUCACUGGCAUUGGUUGUAACAUGUAUUUUUCCAUUUGUUAUUUACAAGUGUCAGUGAUUUUCAAUAACUGUGACGUGGCAUUAAUUACAUUAAUAUUUAAAUGAUACUAUUCUGAGUAUCAUUAAAAGCAGCUCGUUUACCCCUUUCCUGUUUGCCCAUUUCUGUUCCCCCCAACUUUGAAAGAACCUAAUUAAUCUGCUGAUUAUUUCCCUAGAUUAAAAAAAGAAAAGAAUGAAGAAUUGUAGCUAAAGAAUGACUAGUUCCCUACCACUACCAGCCUCCUUAGCAAUCCUGCAGGCAGAUCUCUUGGGCCACAUAACAUCUAAAGAGAGUCAGCCAGUCUGCAGACAAUGGUGAAUGAUGCAGAACACAACCUCCUACCUCAGUGAUUCACUGAAAUUCUUUCCCUCUUUUCCCUUUAAAAACUGUCCUGGCUGAGCAGAAUCUUCAGAGGUGGUCUCUGGACACAAGUCCACCUUCUCCCCAGAUUGUCAGCUUUUCUGACUCAAGCACCUUUCCUUUCUGUUGACACUUGCCUCUCAAAAUAGUGGCUUUUGAGCAGUGAGCAGCUGAACCUGAUUCUGGCAAUAUUAUUAUUAUUUUUUUUAAUUAAAGUAACUUAUAUGUCCCAUGUAGUAAUUUUGAGAUAUUUGAAAUUUACACUGGAAUUAUUUUCCUUGAGUGCAAAGGAACACGUUUCCUGUGUUCCAACCCGGAGAACUUUCCUCUUGGAGUGUUUUCUUUAAUGAAGGCUUCUCAGAAAGUCCUGUUUCUAUAACUGGGGCCCUUGAUUGAGGGCGAGUCGUCUUAACUCAAAAUUGUAAGGUAAUUUGAUAAUGAAUAAGUAAGAGGAGAUACCAUUGUUUAACCUCCAAACUAUGCUAAUAAGCAGGGUGAUAGACUUGCCAUGCUGAAUAAUGGAACUGUUAUUCUAGCCCAGUGGGACUGUCUCCAGUGCCUCCUGGGAGGAUUUGCCAGGCAGAGCCCUGUGGUUCCUGAGUGCACUUUGCUUAGCCUCCAGUAUCUAGUUACAGCACGUUUAUCAGAGGAAAUCACAAUUAGGAAGAAAACCGCAUUCUCCACUCUUUCAAAUAAGAAACAUCCCUCUGUGUUACUUUCACUUUUACUUAUUUUACCUGGGUAAAACAGAAGUCUCAUCUGGAAAAAUAAUCGUUAACACAAAGAACUACAACAUUGAGAGAAUUUUAUUCCUAUAAAAAAAUUCUAUAAAAAUCUAUAUUUUAAAGAGGCCAUUUUCGUACUGUCAGUAAAAGAAGUAUGUUUUCUUUAUAAAGCCUGAACACACUAAUACAUUACUAUACACAGCAUAAAGUUUAGGGUAUUUGAACAGUGGAAAUAGAAAGCAUUCAUAGUUAUUCAACCCUGAAUACUUAGGACAUUUCAUUUCUUUUUACAGCACCCAUAUUCAGUCAAUAAAAGAUCAAAUGCUUUUGGUCACUGGACUGAAAAAAAUCAAAUCCUCCGAACUUUUAGCACUUGAUGUUCUCCGAGUACUUGCUCUCAGCUAUAGCUCAUUAAAUGAGCUGAUUCACCACUGAGUCUAUAAAUUGAAACAAAAGCAAAGAGUUCUUAUUUUGAAAGUAGAUGGCACCAAGCUGAAACACACUUAAAUCUGGGUUGUUUACAUAUUUUUCCUGCACAUAGUGAGUAUUUAGCCGAAUAAGUCCUUGUCCGUUCAUCUGGCACUUUUUCAGGACUGAUCUAAUUAGACUUCUCUGGGUGGGAGUGGUAAAACCAUGAAUAUUAAUUGCUAACUGCAUGAGACUGAGGGGAAAUAACGCAAAAGGUAAAGCAAGCUAGAUAAAAAUGGGUAUUUUGUAAUGGCAUGAGUUGCAUUUACUUCAUGUUUAUUGAAUUUUAUUUAUUUUAUUUCAUGCAAAAAAAUAUAGCAUCAGGCACCAUUCUAGGCAUUUUAUAAACAGAGUAAAUGAACAACUUUAUGAAAUAGAUACUAUUAUUUGCUGCUUUGGAAGACGGUCUAGCAGUUUCUCAACUGGUUAAGUAUAGAGUUACCAUAUGAUCCAGCAAUUCUACUCCUAGGAAUAUACCUAUAAGAAUUGAAAACAAUGUCCACACAAAAACUGGCAUACAAAUGUUCACAGCAGCACUAUUUAU
rnacentral:lncRNA from 1 species